rnacentral:rRNA from 1 species
CCCGCUGAAUUUAAGCAUAUUAAUAAGCGGAGGAAARGAAACUAACAAGGAUUCCCUCAGUAACGGCGAGUGAAGCGGGAAGAGCUCAAAUUUGAAAUCUCCGAUGCUUGCAUCGGCGAGUUGUAGUUGCGAGAAGCACUUUCUAGGCGGAUCGACGGUGCCUAAGUUGCUUGGAACGGCACGUCGCAGAGGGUGACAACCCCGUCUGUGGCGCCGCCGGCCGCCGACGAUGUGCUUUCGAAGAGUCGGGUUGUUUGGGAAUGCAGCCCAAAACGGGUGGUAAACUCCAUCUAAAGCUAAAUACUGGCGUGAGACCGAUAGCGAACAAGUACCGUGAGGGAAAGAUGAAAAGAACUUUGAAAAGAGAGUUAAAAAGUACGUGAAACCGUCGAAAGGGAAACGARUGGACUCAGCAAUGCGCCCUCUGAGAUUCAGCCGGUGGGUGGCGGCGGCGCCGGGUUUGCGGAUCUGAAUGGACCGCGGCCUGGCGCCCGCCUCGUCUCCCCGCCGUCGCACUUCUCUGGGGCGCGCGUCAACGUGGGUUGGGACUGGGUCUGAAAGGCGCCGGGAAGGUAGGUGUGGGCCUUCGGGUCCGUUCUGUUACAGCCCGGUUCUCUCAUGGCUCGGGCCCGACCGAGGAGCGACACGGGGCAUGCCUCCUGUGGCUAGGGUCCCGCCCUUCCGGCCGGCUGUCCAGUGCGGUGGACUGCUUGCAGUGCUCCGCGACGGCUGCCGGUCGUUGGGGUGGUGAUCUCGUACCAUGCCCCUAGGAUGUUGGCGGUCAUAYGGGUGC